rnacentral:rRNA from 1 species
GAUGAACGCUGGCGGCGUGCCUAAUACAUGCAAGUCGAGCGAACAGACGAGGAGCUUGCUCCUCUGACGUUAGCGGCGGACGGGUGAGUAACACGUGGAUAACCUACCUAUAAGACUGGGAUAACUUCGGGAAACCGGAGCUAAUACCGGAUAAUAUAUUGAACCGCAUGGUUCAAUAGUGAAAGACGGUUUUGCUGUCACUUAUAGAUGGAUCCGCGCCGCAUUAGCUAGUUGGUAAGGUAACGGCUUACCAAGGCGACGAUGCGUAGCCGACCUGAGAGGGUGAUCGGCCACACUGGAACUGAGACACGGUCCAGACUCCUACGGGAGGCAGCAGUAGGGAAUCUUCCGCAAUGGGCGAAAGCCUGACGGAGCAACGCCGCGUGAGUGAUGAAGGUCUUCGGGUCGUAAAACUCUGUUAUUAGGGAAGAACAAAUGUGUAAGUAACUAUGCACGUCUUGACGGUACCUAAUCAGAAAGCCACGGCUAACUACGCG